GGAGGGGUGGCUGAGCGGCUGAAGGCAGCGGUCUUGAAAACCGCAUCCCUGCUGACGGGCAGGGACGUGGGUUCGAAUCCGACCCCCUCCGCCA
rnacentral:tRNA from 1 species